CACACACCCUGAGGAGAGAUCACUUACAAACCAAGAAAGAGGCCUCAGGAGAAACCAACACUGCCAACAGGGUUGAUCUUGGACUCCCGUCCUCCAGAACUAUGAGAAAAUGAAUUUCUGCUGUUUAAGUCAGCCUGUGGAAUUUUUUAUGGAAGCCUUAGGAAACUAAUACAGGCCUGAGACCUGAAACUGAUACCCCGGUGCUCAUGGCUUAGACUUCCACAGGGCACUUGGCACUCAAUGAGGGGAGUCUGAGAAGACAAUUAGGUUGUGCUGCUUCUCCACAGAAAAUGGGGAAAGCCGUGGUACUCCUCCCUGAUGAACUGACACUCAGCUGCUAUGUCUUCAGGAUGUCAUUGUGACCUGGAAGAGCCACGGAGAGUGGAGAAUCCUGGACACCUUUCCCAACACAAGUCCUCUCUCCCAUCCGUGCAUGAAUCAUGUGCCUUUCCUGAGAACCUUUCAUUAUUCUUCCCCAACCAGAAGCAAUGAGGCAAGGCCAAGCCUUAUGAGGAUUCUCCUGACACCCUUGCCUCUCUGGGUUUGGAGGAACAAAGCAUCUGACCCUCUGCAAACUGCAUUUCCUACCACAGGCUGCCUUCUCCCCUCUCAGUAGCAUCAUACCCCUUGAGGAGAAAGCCAGCUCCAACAGCUAGGGAAGACAGGAAGAAGCCAAAGCAAAAUUCACGCUGGGCCUAGUGGAUCCUCCCUUUAAAAGCCAUUGAUGCCUUGUGGUGGAGG